rnacentral:lncRNA from 1 species
AUCGAAGGCACAGGUCUUGGAGAAAGAGCGGGGGACGGGGAGGAGCGGCACGGCGCGUGCGCAGUAGCUGCGGCUGGGGAAUUCAUGUGGAGGUCAGGGUGGAAGCAGGUGUGAGUGGGGCCAGCAGAAGGAAACAUGGCUGCAAAAGUGUUUGAGUCCAUCGGCAAAUUUGGCCUGGCCUUAGCUGUUGCAGGAGGCGUGGUGAACUCUGCCUUAUAUAACGUGGAUGCUGGGCACAGAGCUGUCAUCUUUGACCGGUUCCGUGGAGUACAGGACAUCGUGGUAGGAGAAGGGACUCACUUUCUCAUCCCUUGGGUACAGAAACCAAUUAUCUUUGACUGCCGCCUCCCGACCCCGUAAUGUGCCAGUCAUCACCGGCAGCAAAGAUUUGCAGAACGUCAACAUCACCCUGCGCAUCCUCUUCCGGCCUGUCGCCAGCCAGCUCCCCUCGCAUCUUCACCAGCAUCGGGGAGGACUACGACGAACGUGUGCUGCCAUCCAUCACCACGGAGAUCCUCAAGUCCGUGGUGGCUCGCUUCGAUGCCGGGGAGCUGAUCACCCAGAGAGAGCUGGUCUCCAGGCAGGUGAGCGAUGACCUCACCGAGCGAGGCGGCGACCUUUGGGCUCAUCCUGGAUGACGUGUCCUUGACACAUCUGACCUUCGGGAAAGAGUUCACAGAAGCUGUGGAAGCCAAACAGGUGGCCCAGCAGGAAGCAGAGAGGGCCAGAUUCGUAGUGGAGAAGGUGAGUGCCUGGCCAGAUGGCGGACCCCUCUCCCAUGCGCCCUUGCUCGGCUCCCCCCGUCUGCUGGGUGGCCUGGAAAUUCAUCAUCUGUCAUCUCUCCUUCCGGGAUCGUUGGAAGGGGGGUGAAAGAGCUGCACUCCUGCAAUCGGUUCCAGAGUCUUAGGGGGCUCAUCAGGGACACGUGAAGGGUCAUUUUCUUCCCACUUGCCCAAGAUCAAAAACUCUCCUCCACAUGAAAAUGUUACUCCUGGAAGACUUUUAGCUCCACUGAGAAGUCAUUUUUAACCAUGGUUCCAUAGUGAAAGCUGACAGCAAAAAAGAUCAAAUGGUGCACCAGAUGUGCUUAUUGUCCCCAGAUUUUUUUCCUGGGCUAAACCCAUCCAGAUGUGUCUGAGUGUCAUGGAACACAGUGUAUUUUUGGGCAACCUGGUCUUCCCCUUACUUAUAGAGGUGGAUUUAUUUGCUGUCUCUCUCCCCCACGCUAGUGUUCCUAAUCCAAGACCUUGUAAGCCUUCAGAUCAGGGAGAAGAGGGAGAGAUCGGACUGUGGAGACUGUGAGCUCCAUGUGUGCCUGCCACGUCCCUGGGGCCUGUGACCAGCCCAGCACUCCCCUGGUGUUGCUCAGUGCAGUCUCCUAUCGGGAGAGUAGACAGACAGCGGGAUGUGGUUCGGGUGGUAGAGCGCUUGCCUAGCAGUGCAAGGUUAGACUUGUAGCACUAAAACAACAAAAAAGAGGAUUGUGUGUGCGUUUCAGAGCUGUUCCGCGUCGUACUCCUGUCCCACGCAAUGAAGGCCAUCGUGGCCCAGGGAUUAUUGUAUGGUACUGGCCAGCAGGCCAAGGAGGCCUUAUCUAGGUGCCUGCUCAGAGAACAGCCCAGUGUCCAGGCCUACACUGCUCUUCUUUAGCCUCUCGUCGCUUUGGGCCUGUUCAUGGGGCUGGGGCUGGAACCCAGGGCCUCAUGAAUGCUGGGGAUGUGCUCUACCACUCAGCCACACCCCCAGCCCAGUCCUGCUUGCUUUUCAUGGAAACUGUUUUGACUUGGGGUGAGAGGGAAUGACGACCCUGAGAAUUGCUUUGAUUUUGGUGUUUGAGAUGGUAGCCCAGGCUGGUCUCGAACUCGUGACGAUCCCCCUGCCUCAGCCUCCCAAGUGCUGGGAUUAGAGGUGUGUGGCACGGUGCCUGGCUACGAUGGCUGUUUGUGCAGCCCCUGAGAGCUCAUCCCUGCAGUGCUGAGAAGCGGCUGAGGAAAGAGGACUGGCAGCCAGGGCCCCUGCUGGGGUCUCCGUCUCUCUCACCUCCGCUCCUUUAGGCUGAGCAGCAGAAGAAGGCAGCCAUCAUCUCCGCCGAGGGCGACCCAAGGCGGCUGAGCUGAUCGCUAACUCGCUGGCCACCUCGGGCGACGGCCUGAUCGAGCUGCGCAAGCUGGAGGCCGCCGAGGACAUCGCCUACCAGCUGUCUCGCCCUCGAAACAUCACCUACCUGCCGGCCGGGCAGUCGGUGCUCCUGCAGCUGCCCCAGUGAGCCGGGCCGGAGGCGCCUUCCCUUCCGCCCCCACCCCCAAAAUGAAUCACUGUGACACUUCAUGAUUGACCCGAAGUGACGGAAAUAAAGCUAAAAUCACUUUAGCCCGAUGAUUAUCCAAGGAAGGUCUUUUGUUCCUCCCGUAUCCACCUUUGUAUCCACCUCCCUACCAGAAACUGCCAAGUGCCUGUGCAGAGCGGCUCAGGGCUUGUGGGUGCCCCAGCCUGGGGCCCGGCAGCUGGCAGAAGGGCAGGGCGAUGGUGACCAGCGGGGUCGCUCUCCUGGCCUCCAUCCUGUCAGUGAAGAUUCCAGGACAGUGGCCGAGAGGGUGGGCAAUUCCUGCACAGCCAAGGAAUCUGCCCCUUUUGAGGUGGGUGGGCCUGGCUCUGCUGUCCCCCAAGGUCCUAAAACCAGGAUGGACUUGGAUAGGGAGCCAAGAGGAGACCUGGCCCCAGGUGCGUCCUGCUGGAGUCUUCCGGCUCCAAUGCCCGGUGGAAUUCCAGCUUGAAGGAUCACAUCCUGCCGGCCGCUGGGCCAGCCAAAGACGCGCAUCCCACGUUCCUGCUCCUCACUAGACCGCCCUUCCCCAGGGCUGCGCCUGGGCCCCAGAGGAAUCAAUCAUGGGAAGAAAAUAAAUCUGUGUAAACCGCUGUCAAUAAACGACACCCAGACCUUCCAG